ensembl:snRNA U5 U5 spliceosomal RNA
AUCUCAUGUUUCUCUUCAUAUCGCAUAAAUCUUUCGCCUUUUACUAAAGAUUUCCGUGGAGAGGAACAACAUGAGCAAUUGAUAAUUUUUUGAUGCCCUGCUAAUGUGGGGCU